rnacentral:rRNA from 1 species
AUUGAACGCUGGCGGCAUGCCUUACACAUGCCAGUCGAACGGUAACAGGUCUUCGGAUGCUGACGAGUGGCGAACGGGUGAGUAAUACAUCGGAACGUGCCCGAUCGUGGGGGAUAACGAAGCGAAAGCUUUGCUAAUACCGCAUAAGCUCUACGGAUGAAAGCAGGGGACCGCAAGGCCUUGCGCGAACGGAGCGGCCGAUGGCAGAUUAGGUAGUUGGUGGGAUAAAAGCUUACCAAGCCGACGAUCUGUAGCUGGUCUGAGAGGACGACCAGCCACACUGGGACUGAGACACGGCCCAGACUCCUACGGGAGGCAGCAGUGGGGAAUUUUGGACAAUGGGCGAAAGCCUGAUCCAGCCAUGCCGCGUGCAGGAUGAAGGCCUUCGGGUUGUAAACUGCUUUUGUACGGAACGAAAAGACUCUGGUUAAUACCUGGGGUCCAUGACGGUACCGUAAGAAUAAGCACCGGCUAACUACGUG